rnacentral:rRNA from 1 species
AUCGAACGCUGGCGGCAGGCCUAAUACAUGCAAGUCGAGCGAGGGGAGAACGGUUGCGUAAUGUUUGGGAAAAUGCCUGUUGGAGGGGCAUAAGUACUGGAAAAGGUAGCUAAUAAUGCAUUAAAUCAGAUGUGUCCAGAUGGGAAUAGCUAGUAGGUGGGGUAACGGCUUAACUAGGCAACGAUCCCUAGCCGGUCUGAGAGGAUGACCAGCCACACUGGAACGGAGACACGGUCCAGAUUCCUACGGGAGGCAGCAGUGGGGAAUAUUGCACAAUGGGCGCAAGCCUGAUCCAGCCAUGCCGCGUGUGUGAAGAAGGCCUUCGGGUUGUAAAGCACUUUCGGCGGGGAAGCGUUACCCACAGAGUAAGCACCGGCUAACUCCGUGCCAGCAGCCGCGGUAAUUC